AACGUAGGAGGCGAGCGUUAUCCGGAUUUACUGGGCGUAAAGCGCGGGUAGGCGGUGACUUAAGUCAUGCGUGAAAGCUCCUGGCUCAACUGGGAGAGGUCGUGUGAAACUGGGUCACUAGAGGCAGGUAGAGGCAAACGGAAUUCCGGGAGGAGUGGUGAAAUGCGUAGAGAUCCGGAGGAACACCAGUGGCGAAGGCGGUUUGCUGGCCCUGACCUGACGCUCAGACGCGAAAGCAUGGGGAGCGAACGGG
rnacentral:rRNA from 1 species